rnacentral:hammerhead_ribozyme from 1 species
AUUCAGCUGACGAAUUCAUAAUAAGAUGAAACGCGCAUCCUGGAU